AUUGAACGCUAGCGGUAUGCUUUACACAUGCAAGUCGAACGGCAGCGCGGACUUCGGUCUGGCGGCGAGUGGCGAACGGGUGAGUAAUGUAUCGGAACGUGCCCAGUAGCGGGGGAUAACUACGCGAAAGCGUAGCUAAUACCGCAUACGCCCUACGGGGGAAAGCAGGGGAUCGUAAGACCUUGCACUAUUGGAGCGGCCGAUAUCGGAUUAGCUAGUUGGUGAGGUAACGGCUCACCAAGGCGACGAUCCGUAGCUGGUUUGAGAGGACGACCAGCCACACUGGGACUGAGACACGGCCCAGACUCCUACGGGAGGCAGCAGUGGGGAAUUUUGGACAAUGGGGGCAACCCUGAUCCAGCCAUCCCGCGUGUGCGAUGAAGGCCUUCGGGUUGUAAAGCACUUUUGGCAGGAAAGAAACGUCGCGGGCUAAUACCCCGUGGAACUGACGGUACCUGCAGAAUAAGCACCGGCUAACUACGUG
rnacentral:rRNA from 1 species